CCCUGUCACUGUAACAAUAGAUGCCUGCAGCCCUCUUCCAGCUCUAUGUUCUAAGAACCCUCGGCUCUCCUAUUCUUCAGAAUAGAGAAGGUCCCUUAUGGCCACUGACUGGAGACAACUACCUACUUCUCUUGCCCCAGCCUCUGAAACCAUUGAGGAAUCAGCUCCAGCCCUCUUUCCAGCUUUCAAGUCCCUAGGAAGGAGCCUCUAGAGACACCUGGCUGCCCAGUGACCCCACACAGGGGUAAGGAUAGUCCCAUCUUUAGGUACCUUCCUGGCUUCCGGAAAAAGAGCUCAGGAUCUGACCCCAUUCCCGUGCUCCAGCCCCGGCUGUGUUCCCAGUCGUCCAGUCAGCAGUUCUGCCCCCGACCCAUUACCUCGCAG